rnacentral:rRNA from 1 species
UACGUAGGUGGCAAGCGUUGUCCGGAAUUAUUGGGCGUAAAGCGCGCGCAGGCGGUCCUUUAAGUUUGACGUGAAAGCUCCCGGCUUAACUGGGAGAGGUCGUUGAAUACUGAAAGACUUGAGGCAAUGAGAGGGGUGUAGAAUUCCCGGUGUAGUGGUGGAAUGCGUAGAUAUCGGGGGGAAUACCAGUGGCGAAAGCGGCACCCUAGCGUUAGCCUGACGCUCAUGUGCGAAAGCGUGGGGAGCGAACGGG